CUUCUGCCUAGCAACAUCUCAGCCAAUGAGAGACUGUUACAACUCAGCCAGUGAAAAGUCACUAUACUUCAAACUCCCGGUUUCCUCCAAUGGACUUUUUGUUUGUAACCCAGGCAACUUCCCCUUCUCUAUAAAAGAGUCCCCCCGGGCUUGUUUUACCACACUUGCUUGUGGUUCACUGUAAUCGUGCGUCCUGAAUUGUUUGCUGCUCUCAAAUAAACACAUUUUGUUGGUAAAAUAACUUGCUGUUUUACGAUUACACUGAAGUCUCAUAGAGCUCCAGAGAAGAACACUGACAACUCCAAGUGUGGCCUAGUCCACGGAGCUCAUGCUUUCUCGCUGACCCUGAAAUCUGAGGUAGUCAAGCAAACCUAACGAACUUCCAUGUAACACGUUAAAAGGCACCAACGAUAGAUUUUUCUCAAAAUUCACAUAGAUGAGGAAGUCUUUGGGAUCUGUGACAUGAUACUACAAGGGUGCUGCUCUCUGAAGGAUGGAUGACCGAAUGGAUUUUGGAGCAGGAAGAAAGCACGGACCAAACUGGUUUUAACCUUGCAAACCAGCACAGAUGAUAGCAAAGCUUCCCAAACUAGAGCUGCAAAGCCUCUGAUGUCCUCAAGUAAGUAAGCCCCACAUUUGGAACACAAGUCUAAGAUGAUGAGAUGGUUGGAUGGCAUCACCGACUCGACAGACAUGAGUUUGUGCAAACUCCGGAGUUGGUGAUGGACAGGGAAGCCUGGUGUACUGCAGUCCAUGGGGUCACAAAGAGUUGGCAACUGAAAUGAAUGACAGAAUCCCUAAGGAAACAAUGACAGUUCAUUUGGGAUCGUCUUUUUUUCCCCUACCCACUUUAGUUAAGACAGAAAACAAAGCUGUAACUUAUUUCUGAUUCUAUAUUGAGGUGACCAUAAUCCACAUUUGCUC
ensembl:lncRNA